rnacentral:rRNA from 1 species
UCGAACGAGAAAGUGGAGCAAUCCAUGAGUAAAGUGGCGCACGGGUGAGUAACACGUGACUAACCUACCCUCGAGUGGGGGAUAACCUGGGGAAACCUUGGCUAAUACCGCAUAACACCUACGGGUCAAAGGAGCAAUUCGCUUAAGGAGGGGGUCGCGGCAGAUUAGUUAGUUGGCGGGGUAAUGGCCCACCAAGACAGUGAUCUGUAUCCGGCCUGAGAGGGCGCACGGACACACUGGAACUGAAACACGGUCCAGACUCCUACGGGAGGCAGCAGUGGGGAAUUUUGCGCAAUGGGGGAAACCCUGACGCAGCAACGCCGCGUGGAGGAUGAAGUCCCUUGGGACGUAAACUCCUUUCGACCGGGACGAUUAUGACGGUACCGGAAGAAGAAGCCCCGGCUAACUUCGUGCCAGCAGCCGCGGUAAUACGAGGGGGGCGAGCGUUGUUCGGAAUUAUUGGGCGUAAAGGGUGCGUAGGCGGUUCGGUAAGUUUUGUGUGAAAUCUUCGGGCUCAACUCGAAGCCUGCACAAAAUACUGCCGGGCUUGAGUGUGGGAGAGGUGAGUGGAAUUUCCGGUGUAGCGGUGAAAUGCGUAGAUAUCGGAAGGAACACCUGUGGCGAAAGCGGCUCACUGGACCACAACUGGCGCUGAUGCACGAAAGCUAGGGGAGCAAACAGGAUUAGAUACCCUGGUAGUCCUAGCCCUAAACGAUGAUCGCU